rnacentral:rRNA from 1 species
UACGUAGGCAGCAAGCGUUGUUCGGAGUUACUGGGCGUAAAGGGUGCGUAGGCGGUUGUUUAAGUUUGGUGUGAAAUCUCCCGGCUCAACUGGGAGGGUGCGCCGAAUACUGAAUGACUAGAGUGCGGGAGAGGAGAGUGGAAUUCCUGGUGUAGCGGUGAAAUGCGCAGAUAUCAGGAGGAACACCAAUGGCGAAGGCAGCACUCUGGGACGUGACUGACGCUGAGACGCGAAAGCGUGGGGAGCAAACAGG